AGAGUUUGAAAAUGGCUCAGAAUCAACGCUGGCGGCGUGCCUCAGACAUGCAAGUCGAACGAUUAAAGCCCUCUUCGGACGGUGUAUAAAGUGGCGCACGGGUGAGUAACACGUAAGUAAUCUACCCUCGGGUGGGGAAUAACAACCGGAAACGGUUGCUAAUACCGCAUAAUGCAGCGGCUCCUUAUGGAGACAGUUGUUAAAGGAUUUAUUCGCCUGAGGAGGAGCUUGCGGCAAAUUAGCUAGUUGGUAAGGUAAUGGCUUACCAAGGCUACAAUCUGUAGCCGGUCUAUUUUUUCGGUCGGUCACACUGACACUGAAUAACGGGUCAGACUCCUAC
rnacentral:rRNA from 1 species